rnacentral:tRNA from 1 species
GGCCUGAUGGUCUAGUAGCAUGAUUCCUCGUUCGGGUCGAGGAGGUCCCGGGUUCAACUCCCGGUCAGGCCC